UCAACCAAAAACAAGGUUCAGGGGACUCCGACUUUGAACCCAGGGCUGCAUCGGAGCCAUAGAUUAAAUCAUGCACAGCAUAUGGUAUAUGCUAGCAGUUAGAACUGCUAGCAUUUCAAAAGGGGGAAUCUAAAUUGUGGAUCCCUAUCUCCAUUCCAUCGUUUUUCUUAUCAAUACACAGCAUUCUUUUACUCGUGCUUCUUCUCUGCCCUUGGAGAUCGGGCCAUUUUCUCUUUUGUUUUCUUACUAACAAUAGAUUUCCAGCGAAGAGGAGUUUUCUCACCUCUUCAUUUGGCGACCA
rnacentral:lncRNA from 1 species